AGCUCCAAUAGCGUAUAUUAAAGUUGUUGCGGUAAAAAAGCUCGUAGUUGGAUUUCUGUUGAAACCGGCCGGUCUCCACAACGUGGACGAUCUGGUUUGGCUUCGGCAUCCUCUCGUGAAGCGUUUCUGCGCUUGACUGCGUGGAGCGUGUUGCGGGACUUUUACUUUGAGGAAAUUAGAGUGUUCACGGCAGGCUAUCGCCCGAAUACAUUAGCAUGGAAUAAUACUAUAGGAUUUCGCUCCUAUUUUGUUGGUUUCUAGGCGCGAGAUAAUGAUUAAUAGGGACAAUUGGGGGCAUUCGUAUCAUGCAGUCAGAGGUGGAAUUCUUGGAUUUGCAUGCGACGAACUACUGCGAAAGCAUUUGCCAAGGAUGUUUUCA
rnacentral:rRNA from 1 species